UUUUGUUGCAGUCGGUGGUUCGGGCGAGCGGCUGCGGCGCUUUCGGAUGCUGCUGCGAGCCUCGUGAAGGUUUUACGGCAGGAGGGGGAGGAGGAAGAGGAGGGCCGGGUCUGCAGGGCACAAAGCCGGGCAGGAAUGGCCCCAGCGCAGCCGCUGCGCGCUGAGAGGGAGCGAGGGCGAGCCCCACUGGAAAAAAAAUAUCUGGGGUGAGAAAAAAAACAAACCCAGAUAGUAAAAAAAAAAAAGAAAAAAUUUAAAAACUAUCUUUCUUUUAAAAUUGAAAAAAAAAA